AGCAGCCGCGGUAAUUUCAGCUCCAAUAGCGUAUAUUAAAGUUGUUGCAGUUAAAAAGCUCGUAGUUGAAUUUCGAGACCGGUUUACUGGUCGUGCUUUUGUACGUACUGGUAUAAUCGGUUUCUCUUUUCUGACGAACUAUAAUGCCAUUAAUUUGGUGUUAUAGGGAAUCAGGACUGUUACUUUGAAAAAAUUAGAGUGUUUAAAGCAGGCUCACGCUUGAAUACAUUAGCAUGGAAUAACGAAAUAGGACGUUUGAUUUUAUUUUGUUGGUUUCUAGGAUCGACGUAAUGAUUAAUAGGGAUAGUUGGGGGCAUUAGUAUUCAAUUGUCAGAGGUGAAAUUCUUGGAUUUAUUGAAGACUAACUACUGCGAAAGCAUUUGCCAAGGAUGUUUUCAUUAAUCAAGAACGAAAGUUAGGGGAUCGAAGACGAUCAGAUACCGUCGUAGUCUUAACCAUAAACUAUGCCGACUAGGGAUCGGAUGAUGUUAAUAUUAAUGACUCAUCCGGCACCUUACGG
rnacentral:rRNA from 1 species